GCGGGCAUAGCUCAGUUGGUUAGAGCAUCAGAUUGUGAUUCUGAGGGUCGUGGGUUCGAGCCCCAUUGCUCGCC
rnacentral:tRNA from 1 species